ACAAACUUGGUCAUUUAGAGGAAGUAAAAGUCGUAACAAGGUCUCCGUUGGUGAACCAGCGGAGGGAUCAUUACCGGGUCUCACGACUACCCGAACCCUGAACUAGUGCAUUCUUGCAACUUGUUUCCACGCUGCGGCGGGCUGCUCGCUGGGGGAGCGCUGGGCCGACAGGCUAGCCCGCCGCAGCGAACGAAAACCGUCUCCGAGGCAUGAAGCCCCGAGGCAUGCUCCGAGAGGCACUGAAGCCUUGCAAAAGGCAUCUAGUCACAACCCAUAACAAUGGAUCUCUUGGCUCCGGCAUCGAUGAAGAACGCAGC
rnacentral:misc_RNA from 1 species